rnacentral:misc_RNA from 1 species
GAUGAAGAACGUAGCGAAAUGCGAUAAGUAAUGUGAAUUGCAGAAUUCAGUGAAUCAUCGAAUCUUUGAACGCACAUUGCGCCCGCCAGUAUUCUGGCGGGCAUGCCUGUUCGAGCGUCAUUUCAACCAUCAAGCCCCAGGCUUGUGUUGGAGCCCUGCGGCUGCCGCAGCCUCCCAAAACCAGUGGCGGGCUCGCUAUCACACCGAGUGCAGUAGUUUACUCUUCGCUCAGGGCGUGUGGCGGGUGCUAGCCGUAAAACCCCCAACUUCUCAAUGUUGACCUCGGAUCAGGUAGGAAUACCCGCUGAACUUAAGCAUAUCAAUAAGCGGAGGA